rnacentral:rRNA from 1 species
AACGAACGCUGGCGGCAUGCCUAACACAUGCAAGUCGAACGAGAUCUUCGGGUCUAGUGGCGCACGGGUGCGUAACGCGUGGGAAUCUGCCCUUUGGUUCGGAAUAACAGUUGGAAACGACUGCUAAUACCGGAUGAUGACGAAAGUCCAAAGAUUUAUCUCCAGAGGAUGAGCCCGCGUAGGAUUAGCUAGUUGGUGGGGUAAAGGAGCACCAAGGAGACGAUCCUUAGCUGGUCUGAGAGGAUGAGCAGCCACACUGGAACUGAGACACGGCCCAGACUCCUACGGGAGGCAGCAGUGGGGAAUAUUGGACAAUGGUCGAAAGCCUGAUCCAGCAAUGCUGCGUGAGUGAUGAAGGCCUUAGGGUUGUAAAGCUUUUUUACCCGGGAUGCUAAUGACAGUACCGGGAGAAUAAGCUCCGGCUAACUCCGUGCCAGCAGCCGCCGUAACAC